CAGCAGCCGCGGUAAUACGAGGGGUGCAAGCGUUACUCGGAAUUACUGGGCGUAAAGCGUGCGUAGGUGGUGGUUUAAGUCCGUUGUGAAAGCCCUGGGCUCAACCUGGGAAUUGCAGUGGAUACUGGGUCACUAGAGUGUGGUAGAGGAUAGUGGAAUUCCACGUGUAGCAGUGAAAUGCGUAGAGAUCGGGAGGAACAUCAGUGGCGAAGGCGGCCAUCUGGGACAACACUGACACUGAGGCACGAAAGCGUGGGGAGCAAACAGGAUUAGAUACCCCCGUAGUCCCUGUCUCUUAUAA
rnacentral:rRNA from 1 species